rnacentral:misc_RNA from 1 species
CUACCACUCUCUCAUACAUCA